rnacentral:rRNA from 1 species
UACGUAGGGGGCAAGCGUUGUCCGGAUUUAUUGGGCGUAAAGAGCGUGUAGGCGGCCUGACAAGUCUGCUGUGAAAACUCGAGGCUCAACCUCGAGAUGUCGGCGGAAACUGUCUGGCUAGAGUCCGGAAGAGGAGAGUGGAAUUCCUGGUGUAGCGGUGAAAUGCGCAGAUAUCAGGAAGAACACCUAUGGCGAAGGCAGCUCUCUGGGCCGUAACUGACGCUGAGGAGCGAAAGCGUGGGGAGCGAACAGG